rnacentral:rRNA from 1 species
UACGUAGGGUGCGAGCGUUAAUCGGAAUUACUGGGCGUAAAGCGUGCGCAGGCGGUUUUGUAAGCCAGAUUUGAAAUCCCCGGGCUUAACCUGGGAAUGGCAUUUGGGACUGCAAAGCUUGAGUGUGGCAGAGGGGACUGGAAUUCCUGGUGUAGCAGUGAAAUGCGUAGAGAUGUGGAGGAAUACCGAUGGCGAAGGCAGCCCCCUGGGAUAACACUGACGCUCAUGCACGAAAGCGUGGGGAGCAAACAGG